UACGAAGGGUGCAAGCGUUACUCGGAAUUACUGGGCGUAAAGCGUGCGUAGGCGGAUCGUUAAGUCGGGGGUGAAAUCCCAGGGCUCAACCCUGGAACUGCCUUCAAUACUGGCGAUCUUCGAGUCCGGGAGAGGUGAGUGGAACUCCGAGUGUAGAGGUGAAAUUCGUAGAUAUUCGGAAGAACACCAGUGGCGAAGGCGGCUCACUGGCCCGGUUCUGACGCUGAGGCGCGAAAGCGUGGGAGCAACAGG
rnacentral:rRNA from 1 species